rnacentral:rRNA from 1 species
CAUUCUUUCUGCAAUUAAGUUUCGACGGUAUAUGUAUUGGUGUGUCGUUUGAUUAGCUAGUUGGUAGGGUAACGGCCUACCAAGGCGACGAUCAAUAGCUGGCGUGAGAGCGCGACCAGCCACACUGGAACUGAGACACGGUCCAGACUCCUACGGGAGGCAGCAGUAGGGAAUAUUGGACAAUGGGCGAAAGCCUGAUCCAGCCAUGCCGCGUGAUAGAUGAAGGCCCUCUGGGUUGUAAAUAUCUUUAUCUGGGAAGAAACUCCUCUAUUCUUAGAGGCCUGACGGUACCAGAAGAAUAAGCACCGGCUAACUCCGUG